CUAGGCAAAAUGACACCGUAACUUCGGGAGAAGGUGUACUCUUGUUAUGUGAAAUCACUCGCUGAUAGAGCAGAAAAGAGUUGAAAAUACUAGGUGGCUGCGACUGUUUAUUAAAAACACAGCACUCUGCAAACACGUAAGUGGACGUAUAGGGUGUGACUCCUGCCCGGUGCUUGAAGGUUAAUUGAUGAGGUUAGCGCUUGCGCGAAGCUUUUGAUCGAAGCCCAAGUAAACGGCGGCCGUAACUAUAACGGUCCUAAGGUAGCGAAAUUCCUUGUCGGGUAAGUUCCGACCUGCACGAAUGGCGUAACGAUGGCCACACUGUCUCCACCAUAGACUCAGUGAAAUUGAAAUCGCUGUUAAGAUGCAGUGUACCCGCAGCUAGACGGAAAGACCCCGUGCACCUUUACUAUAGGUUCGCACUGGACUUUGACCUUACUUGUGUAGGAUAGGUGGGAGACUUUGAAGCAGAGACGCCAGUCUUUGUGGAGUCAUCCUUGAAAUACCACCCUUGUAAGAUUGAAGUUCUAACCUAGGUCCAUUAUCUGGAUCAGGGACAGUGCGUGCUGGGUAGUUUGACUGGGGCGGUCUCCUCCUAAAGAGUAACGGAGGAGUACGAAGGUAUCCUUAUCACGGUCGGACAUCGUGAGGUAAGUAUAAAGGCAGAAGGAUGCUUGACUGCGAGAUCGACGGAUCGAGCAGGUAGGAAACUAGGUCUUAGUGAUCCGGUGGUUCUGAAUGGAAGGGCCAUCGCUCAACGGAUAAAAGGUACGCCGGGGAUAACAGGCUGAUACCCCCCAAGAGUUCACAUCGACGGGGGUGUUUGGCACCUCGAUGUCGGCUCAUCACAUCCUGGGGCUGAAGCAGGUCCCAAGGGUAUGGCUGUUCGCCAUUUAAAGUGGUACGCGAGCUGGGUUUAGAACGUCGUGAGACAGUUCGGUCCCUAUCUGCCGUGCGCGUUGGAAAAUUGAGAAGAGUUGCUCCUAGUACGAGAGGACCGGAGUGAACGAACCUCUGGUGUUCGGGUUGUCAUGCCAAUGGCAUUGCCCGGUAGCUAUGUUCGGAAAGGAUAACCGCUGAAAGCAUAUAAGCGGGAAGCCUCCUUCAAGACUAGUUUUCCCUGGACCUUCGGGUCCUUAGAGAGCCGUUCAAGACUAGGACGUUGAUAGGCAGGGUGUGUAAGUGCUGUAAGGCAUUGAGCUAACCUGUACUAAUUGCUCGAUCGGCUUGACCGU
rnacentral:rRNA from 1 species